CCUACGGGUGGCUGCAGUGAGGAAUAUUGCGCAAUGGAGGCAACUCUGACGCAGCCAUGCCGCGUGCAGGAAGAAGGCGCUACGCGUUGUAAACUGCUUUUAACCGGGAAGAAACCCCAGGACGUGUCCUGGGUUGACGGUACCGGAGGAAUAAGCACCGGCUAACUUCGUGCCAGCCGCCGCGGUAAUACGAAGGGUGCAAGCGUUAUCCGGAUUCAUUGGGUUUAAGGGGGGCGGUGGUGGCGCGUUAGAAAGCCUACAGCUCAACUGUAGAAUUGCCAUUGAUACUGGCGCUCUUGAGUGCGCUUGAAGUAGGCGGAAUGUGCCGUGUAGCGGUGAAAUGCUUAGAUAUGGCACAGAACACCAAUUGCGAAGGCAGCUUACUAAGGCGAUACUGACACUGAGGCACGAAAGCGUGGGGAUCGAACAGGAUUAGAUACCCUGGUAGUC
rnacentral:rRNA from 1 species